UACGAAGGGGGCUGGCGUUGCUCGGAAUGACUGGGCGUAAAGCGCACGUAGGCGGCCUCUUAAGUCGGGGGUGAAAUCCUGGAGCUCAACUCCAGAACUGCCUUCGAUACUGGGAGUCUUCGAGUUCGGGAGAGGUGAGUGGAACUGCGAGUGUAGAGGUGAAAUUCGUAGAUAUUCGCAAGAACACCAGUGGCGAAGGCGGCUCACUGGCCCGAUACUGACGCUGAGGUGCGAAAGCGUGGGGAGCAAACAGG
rnacentral:rRNA from 1 species